ACCCCUUGAGAGUGGCGAACGGGUGAGUAAUAUAUCGGAACGUGCCCAGUCGUGGGGGAUAACGUAGCGAAAGUUACGCUAAUACCGCAUACGAUCUACGGAUGAAAGCGGGGGACUCGCAAGAGCCUCGCGCGAUUGGAGCGGCCGAUAUCAGAUUAGGUAGUUGGUGGGGUAAAGGCUCACCAAGCCAACGAUCUGUAGCUGGUCUGAGAGGACGACCAGCCACACUGGAACUGAGACACGGUCCAGACUCCUACGGGAGGCAGCAGUGGGGAAUUUUGGACAAUGGACGCAAGUCUGAUCCAGCCAUUCCGCGUGCAGGAUGAAGGCCCUCGGGUUGUAAACUGCUUUUGUACGGAACGAAAAGGUCUCUAUUAAUACUAGGGGCUCAUGACGGUACCGUAAGAAUAAGCACCGGCUAACUACGUGCCAGCAGCCGCGGUAAUGCGUAGGGUGCAAGCGUUAAUCGGAAUUACUGGGCGUAAAGCGUGCGCAGGCGGUUAUGUAAGACAGAGGUGAAAUCCCCGGGCUCAACCUGGGAACUGCCUUUGUGACUGCAUAGCUAGAGUACGGUAGAGGGGGAUGGAAUUCCGCGUGUAGCAGUGAAAUGCGUAGAUAUGCGGAGGAACACCGAUGGCGAAGGCAAUCCCCUGGACCUGUACUGACGCUCAUGCACGAAAGCGUGGGGAGCAAACAGGAU
rnacentral:rRNA from 1 species